rnacentral:rRNA from 1 species
CCUACGGGAGGCAGCAGUGGGGAAUAUUGCACAAUGGGCGAAAGCCUGAUGCAGCGACGCCGCGUGAGGGAUGACGGCCUUCGGGUUGUAAACCUCUUUCAGCAGGGAAGAAGCGAAAGUGACGGUACCUGCAGAAGAAGCGCCGGCUAACUACGUGCCAGCAGCCGCGGUAAUACGUAGGGCGCAAGCGUUGUCCGGAAUUAUUGGGCGUAAAGAGCUCGUAGGCGGCUUGUCACGUCGGGUGUGAAAGCCCGGGGCUUAACCCCGGGUCUGCAUUCGAUACGGGCUAGCUAGAGUGUGGUAGGGGAGAUCGGAAUUCCUGGUGUAGCGGUGAAAUGCGCAGAUAUCAGGAGGAACACCGGUGGCGAAGGCGGAUCUCUGGGCCAUUACUGACGCUGAGGAGCGAAAGCGUGGGGAGCGAACAGGAUUAGAUACCCUGGUAGUCCACGCCGUAAACGGUGGGAACUAGGUGUUGGCGACAUUCCACGUCGUCGGUGCCGCAGCUAACGCAUUAAGUUCCCCGCCUGGGGAGUACGGCCGCAAGGCUAAAACUUAAAGUGAAUGACGNGNGAGAGCGACGACGACGACGACGAGGAGAG